rnacentral:rRNA from 1 species
GCAAGUUAUGCCCAAAGCCAUUAGACCGAUCGCAGAUCUGCCUGGACGUCACACAUCGUGUCACCCCCUUGUAUUGUACCUUGAUCACAGGGCGCGCUAUCAUUGCGAUGUGGAUAUUAGCCUCUCAUGCACCUCGAGCAUGCGGCUGGCCUAAAUAUGAGUCUGCAUCGAUGGACGUCACAUCAAGUGGCAGUUCUAACUUAACUCUCUUUACUGUCACGACUGCUGCCCAUCGUGCAUUCGGACACCCGGACCCUACCGCUCUUAGGCGCUCCAACCGCGAACCCAGGUCGGCAACUGCAUAUUUCGAACGCUGGCCUGUAGGCUUCCCAUUCAACCCGUCUUGAAACACAGACCAAGUAGUCUGACUUGUGUGUGGAUAAAUGGUUGAGUAAACCCAUAAGGCGCAAGGAAUCUGAUUGGUGGGAUCCCUCUGAGGGGUGCACCGCCUACCGACCUUGAUCUUCUGAGAAGGGUUCAAGUGUGAGCAUACCUAUCGGGACCCGAAAAGUGGUGAACUAUGCUUGAGUGAGGCAAAGCCAUAGAAAACUCUGGUAGAGGCCCGCAGCGAUACUGACUCUCAAAUCGUUCGUUUGACUUGGGUAUAGGGGCGAAAGACUAAUCGAACUGUCUAGUAGAUGGUUCCCUCCGAAGUUUCCCUCAUGAUAGCUGGAACUCACGAGUGAUUUCUAUCGGGGAAAGCCAAUGAUUAGAGGACUCAGGGGUGCAAUGCCCUCGACCUAUUCUCAAACUUUAAAUAGGUAGGACAGCACAGCUGCUUUGCUGAGCCACGCCACCGAAUCAAGAGCUCCAAGUGUGACAUUUUUGGUAAGCAGAACUGGUGAUAUGGGAUGAACCGAAAGUCAAGUUAUUUUGCCAAACUGCACGUUAACCUAGAUCCCACAAAAGGUGUUGGUCGAUUAAGACAGUAGGAUGAUGGUCAUAGAAGUCGAAAUCCACUAAAUAAUGUGUAACAACUCACCUUCCAAAUCAACUAACCCUAAAAAUGGAUGGCUCUUAAGUGCGCGACCUAUACCCGGUCAUUGGGGCAAGUUCCAGGCCUCGAUGAGUAGGAGGGCAUGGUGGUCGCUGUAAAACCUUGGGCGCGAUCCUGGGCAGAGCGGCCAUCGGUAUAGAUCUUGGUGGUAGUAGAAAAUAUUCAAAUGAGAACUUUGAAGGCUAAAGAGGAGAGAGGUUCCAUGUGAACGACACUUGCACAUGGGUUAGUCGAUUCUAAAGGUCGGGGGAACCCCGAUAGUAGCGCAUUUUGUGCGUACUCCAAAAGGGAAUUGGGUUACAAUUCCUGAAUCGAGAACAUUACGAAGUCUGGAUACAUCAGCAGGAGCCUUAGGAAGAGUUAUCUUUUUUGUUUAAUAGCCUGCCUACUCUGGAAUCGGCUCAGCCAGAGGUAGGGUCCAGAGGCUGGAAGAGCACCGCACGCUGCGUGGUGUCCGAUGCUCUCCCAACGGCCCUUAAAAAUAUGAAGGACCAAAUUCCAUCCACUCCCGGUCGCACUCUUAACCGCAUUAGGUCUCCAAAGUGAACAACCUCUAGUCGAUGGAACAAUGUAGGCAAGGAAAGUAGGUCAAAUGGAUCCGUAACUUCGGAAGAGGAUUGACUCUGAGGGCUGGGCACGGGGGUCCCAGUCCCGAACCCAUUGGUUGUUGGUGUAUUGCACGAGCUACUCCCACAGCAGAGCGGGUUGCCGCGUUCCGGCCUGGGGACAUACUGGGAACGGUUCCUUCGAGGGCCUUCCCCGCGCGUCAAACAACAAACUCAGAACUGGUACGAACAAGCAGAAUUCGACUAUUUAACUAAAACAAAGCAUUGCGAUACUCCCAAUGGAUGUUCACGCAAUGUGAUAUCUGCCUAGUGCUCUAAUUGUCAAAGUGAAGAAAUUUAACCAAGCGCAGGUAAACAACGGGAGUAACUAUGAAUCUCUUAAGGUAGCCAAAUACCUCGUCAUCUAAUUAAUGACGCACAUGAAUGGAUUAACGAGAUUCCCACUAUCCUUGUCUACUAUUCUUCCAAACUACAGCCAAGGGAACGUGCUUGGCAAAGUCAGGGGGGAAAGAAGACCCUAUUGAGCUUAAAUCUAGUUCGACUUUAUGAAAUGAUAUGAGAGGUGUAGUAUAAGUGGGAGCCGAAAGGCGAAAGUUAAAUACCACCACUUUUAAUAUUAGUUUACUUAUUCUGUGAAUUGGAAGCGGGGAACUGCCCCUCUUUUUGGACCCAAGGCUUGCUCUGCGGGCGGAUCCAGGCAGAAGACAUUGUCAGGUGGGGAGUUUGGCUGGGGCGGCACAUCUGUUAAAAGAUAAAGUAGGUGUCCGAAGAUGAGCUCAACAAGAAUAGAAAUCUCAUGUGGAAUACAAAGGUAAAAGCUCAUUUGAUUCUGAUUUCCAGUACGAAUACGAUCCAUGAAAGCAUGGCCUAACGAUCCUUUAGACCUUUAAAAUUCAAAGCUAUAGGUGUUGAUAAAGUUACCACUAGGAUAACUGGUUUGUGGCAGCAAAGCAUUCAUAGAGAUGUUGCUUUCUGAUGCUUCGAUGUUGACUGUUCCUAUCAUUAUGAAGUAGAAUUCACCAUGUGUUGGAUUGUUCACCAACCAAUAGGGAACGUGAUCUGAGUUUAGACCAUUGUAAGACAGAUUAGUUUUACCCUACUGAUGACAAUGUCGCAAUAGUAAUUCAACCUAGUACGAGAGAAACCGUUGAUUCUCAUAAUUAGUCAUCGUAUUUGGUUGAAAAGCCAGUGGCGCAAAGCUAAUAUGUGCUGGAUUAUGACUGAAUUCCUCUAAGUCAAAAUCCAGGCUAGAAGCAAUGCAUGCGCCCACCGCCUACUUGCUGACCCAUAGUAGGGGCCUCAGCCCCUAAGGGCACGUGUCAUUGGCUAAGCUACCGCGGCAAAAGGGUUGCGGUGGCCUAUCUGAACUACAAUUUCCAUCGAGCGGUGAGUAGAAUCCUGUGCAGAGAACUUAAAUAUGCAAU